AGAACGAACGCUGGCGGCAUGCCUAACACAUGCAAGUCGAACGAACCCUUCGGGGUUAGUGGCGCACGGGUGCGUAACGCGUGGGAAUCUGCCCUUAGGUACGGAAUAACUCAGCGAAAGUUGUGCUAAUACCGUAUGAUGUCUUCGGACCAAAGAUUUAUCGCCUAGGGAUGAGCCCGCGUUGGAUUAGCUAGUUGGUGAGGUAAAGGCUCACCAAGGCGACGAUCCAUAGCUGGUCUGAGAGGAUGAUCAGCCACACUGGGACUGAGACACGGCCCAGACUCCUACGGGA
rnacentral:rRNA from 1 species